CCUGCAUUACACUUCAUCCAAUCAGAUGCUGCGUGCACCAACACCUCGUUUGAAUACAGGGAAUAUAAAUAGACACCACUCUGUUACCAACCAGCUUUCUCUUUCAUUCCAGUGUACUGGGAAACUAUGUCCAUCGUGGCUGAGCGUUCUCCUAAAUCUAUCUUUGCCAAGAAGGACAUCAGGAAAGCCACUUCCAAAACAGAAAAGGGGAAGAUGUAAAAGAGACGCCCUGAGACAAGUUACGCCACCUAUGUUUACAAGAUCAUGCCUUCCUCCUGGCCCGCCCACCAAGCGCUCCAUCAUCUCGUCCAGUGAGAUCCAGGACUCUGUGUGCACGCUGCUGCUGGGGGAGAGUGACAAGCACACCGUGCCCGAGGCCAGCAAGGCCGUCAUCAGUUGGUUUCGAGACCAGAUGUGGAGAAGGGGUCUCUUAAAGACUCAAGCAUUUUUGGAGCAAGACCAUGGGAAUAGAUUGGGAGCCAGCAAGACACAGAAAGGGGAGAAGAGCUGUGGAUCUGUUUUUAGACGCACCCCUGAGGGCAGAGUGAAAGAUGUGCUCUGGAAGGGCCGCUUGCUACAAGAGCUUUGAAGGGACAGGGCCUGGGCUGUGCAGCCCGUUUAUCCUUCCAACCUCACUAAUCAGCUAAGGGUCCAGGUGUGGACGAGCAAACGGAGCGUUUCCGGGGGAAGGAUGUGCCUGCGCUUCCUAGUUGCCGUAGAAACGUGACGUCAUCGUAGCGACCGUGACGACUUUUUAAUAGAGACGGAGGGGCUCUGGCAAGAGCAGGUCUCACCUUCAGCUCUUCAUGCCAGUGGCCAAGCUCCUAUCAGGCGUCUGAAGGAGGCAGCUUCUGAGGAUCUGUGCCCUGCUGGCUGCUGAACCAUCUGCUCCACAUUGAAGGGCAGCCAUCCUCAGGAGACCCCAGCACUUCACAUCCCUGCUGGGAUAUGACUUCUGACUCGAUGGGCCAUCAGAGGAGGGUGUGGACUCUGAGCCUCAGAAGCAGGAGCUGACAGAGAAGAACCAAGUGUGCUGGCGCGUGUGCAGACAGGUUCCUGGAGCAAGAGUGAGGAGAUCAGGGUCCCAUCACUGGGACACUUUAGUGGGCCGUCAGAGGAGGGUGUGGACUCUGAGCCUCAGAAGCAGGAGCUGACAGAGAAGAACCAAGUGUGCUGGCGCGUGUGCAGACAGGUUCCUGGAGCAAGAGUGAGGAGAUCAGGGUCCCAUCACUGGGACACUUUAGUUUCUCGAGAAUAAUACUGUGCACCAUAGCUCAGAAAGAAGAGGCUUUGCAGAAGAAUGCUGUCACAGAACACUGGGACUCUGGCUGGAGAAACCAUGAUGUACGGAGGUUAAGUAACCUGGCUGGGGGUCAUCGUGCUACCAAGACGAAAAGCAGAGACUGCUGCCUUCUGUGUCCAAAUGCCAACUGCAUGAUGCUCAGCUGCGAGCCACCUCCAAUCAAGUAGACCUUGCUCUCCUUCUGAGCCGUGUCACUCCUACAAUCUGCGUCUUCACUUCUGAUUCCAAAAUGCUAGUCCUGCCUGUGUUUAUACAAGUCAGUGUACAUGAUUCAACCUCAGUUUCCUAUUCUGUAAAAACAAGGGUGUGUGGAAAGAACACAAGGAAGGUUUUGGAGAGGAUGGAUAUGUUUAGGACCUUGGUUAUGGUCAUUGUGUUACAGGUGCAUGUGUAGGUCCAAACCUAUGAAGAUUUAUACGUUAAAUUGUGUAAUUUUUUGUCUAUCAGUUAUACCUCAAUGAAACUAUAAAAUCCAAUCUCUCCAGGAGGUAAGGUGUGGCAGUCUGCCUAAAUCUGCUUCUGCACACUGAAGUUAAGGGCUCCCAUUUUGCAGCCGUCUGGUGCAGAGUCCUAAGAAGCUGCAUCCUCUCAGCCACGCAACACCACGGGGUCCGUCAUCUGCAUGAAGAGCUCUGCCCUGGGACAUAAACAUUACACUUGCCUGCUCAACAACCACCUCUUUGUCACAUCUCUAGAUCUUGAGUGUUGAAAUGAGUGUUCAAAUGGAGACAGACAGGUCUUUCUCCAGGAGGAAAGGAUUUCCUUCCCCCAGGACAGAAUUCAGUUGCUUGGGUAGAGACAAGGAUUAUAUUGCUGUGCGAUCAGGUACGUAAAAGCCCGAGUUGUAAAUGCCUCCACAGAGUCAGAGUCUGAUGAUGUGAAGGCUGUGCUUUAGGCAAUGAGCUUUCAAAUUAAGCACGCGUUUUUUCCUCAGGUCCUGUACUUUUGCUUCAUUGAAAAGGAUUUUGCAGAUAACAAUCAUUUUUUCUGGUCACUUCAAUAAACUCUGUCUUAUUUCUUUUUCUUUCUUUCUCAAGGGAUUUCCGUUUAUGGAAUAAAUCAUCUGAAAUUAUAAUGUCUCAAAUUCUGUCAUGGGUAAAUGGGUUGUCUAAAUGCAUUGUCUAAUAUACCACAGCUAGGCAACGUAAUGGUGGUGAAAUAUAAUGGUGGCAGUAGGGAACUCUUGCAGGUUCCUGACUCUUAAGUCAGAAUACUUUUACUGUACCACAGAAAUCGGAAUGGUGAACUUUUGGGGAUGCAUCCCUUCAGUAACAUAACACAACCGUCAUAGUAAAAGCAGACGUGAAUCCUUACUGCUAAAAGUGUUUGAGUUAAUAAAGAAAUGGGUGACGGGAGACAAGCUGUCUUGAUCAAAUAUUUCUAAAUAAUGUAUGUAGAUACCCUGCCUCCAUGAAGUGAACCUUAGUUCUGCCUCCACCGCUGAGGGCAGGGCAUACUCAGUGACUCCCUUCUAAAGAACUGAGUCUGGGGGUGGAGAACAGUUCCUGUACCCUGGAGAACCUCGACAAACACCUCAGCCCAGCCAUGAGGGUCAACGUGUCCAGUGAUCCAGCGAUGUCACAUGGGUCUCAUGUCCUCCCAGAUAUCAUGUGCUGAGAAGGGCACUUGAACUCUGUGCUAUUCUUUCUCAAAACCUGUAAGCACAGUCUAAUCAAGAGAAAAAUAGCAGACUGUGCCUGCACUCCUCAAGGCUGUCAGGGUCAUGAAAACAGUCUGGCAGUUCCUCAAACAGUUCAACAGAGACUUACCACAUGACCCAGCGAUUCCACUCCUAGGUACACAGCCAGGAGAAAUGACAACACAUGUCUACAUAAAAACUAGUACACAAAUGUAUGUAGCAUCAUUAUUUAUAAUAGCCAAAAGUAGACUAUCUAAAUGUCCACCAAUUAAUGAAGGGAUAAAUAAAAUGUGGAAUAUUAUUCAGCAAUAAAAAGGAAUGAAGUACCGCUACAUGCUACAACAUGGAUGAACCUUGAAAACAGUAUGCCAACUGAAAGAAGCCAAAUACGCGAAAGACCACAUAGUGUAUGACUCCACUUAGGUGAAAUGUCCAGAAUAGGCAAAUCCAUGGAGAGAAAGCUUAUCUGUGGUUCCUGGGCCUCGAGGCGGGUGCGGGCUUUGACUGCAUUCAAGCACAAUGGGACUUUUUGGGGUGAUGGAAACAUCUAAAACUCGAUUAUGGUAAUGGUUGUACAACUCUACACAGUUACUGAAAGUCAUCAAACUGCACCCUUAAAAUGUGUGGAUUUUGUUCUCUGUAAAUUAUAUUGCAGGAAAGCUGUUAAAAAUAUGAUAUUGCCCUGGUCUUCUGUUCUACCACAAUAACAACCAACCUCUCUCAUACAAAGAUUUAGAUGCAUGUGUAUUAUAUAAAUAUUAAUUCACAUAAAACCACCUGGCUUAUAUAAAUAUUAACUUAUAUAAACCACAUGUUUAAUGAAAACAUUAAUUUAUAUAAAACUGUGACUGUGUCUCAUGCCUGCUGACUCUAUGUCCUGUCUUCCUGCAAGCAAUGACCUUCUCCCACACAGGUGACCUCAGGUUGUGCUUGUGUGUAAAGUUUCGUUCACUUGUGAUCACUUCCAC
ensembl:lncRNA